AUGAACGCUAGCGACAGGCUUAACACAUGCAAGUCGAGGGGCAGCACAGGUAGCAAUACCGGGUGGCGACCGGCGCACGGGUGAGUAACGCGUAUGCAACUUGCCUAUCAGAGGGGGAUAACCCGGCGAAAGUCGGACUAAUACCGCAUGAAGCAGGGGCCCCGCAUGGGGAUAUUUGCUAAAGAUUCAUCGCUGAUAGAUAGGCAUGCGUUCCAUUAGGCAGUUGGCGGGGUAACGGCCCACCAAACCGACGAUGGAUAGGGGUUCUGAGAGGAAGGUCCCCCACAUUGGUACUGAGACACGGACCAAACUCCUACGGGAGGCAGCAGUGAGGAAUAUUGGUCAAUGGGCGUAAGCCUGAACCAGCCAAGUCGCGUGAGGGAUGAAGGUUCUAUGGAUCGUAAACCUCUUUUAUAAGGGAAUAAAGUGCGGGACGUGUCCCGUUUUGUAUGUACCUUAUGAAUAAGGAUCGGCUAACUCCGUGCCAGCAGCCGCGGUAAUACGGAGGAUCCGAGCGUUAUCCGGAUUUAUUGGGUUUAAAGGGUGCGUAGGCGGCCUUUUAAGUCAGCGGUGAAAGUCUGUGGCUCAACCAUAGAAUUGCCGUUGAAACUGGGGGGCUUGAGUAUGUUUGAGGCAGGCGGAAUGCGUGGUGUAGCGGUGAAAUGCAUAGAUAUCACGCAGAACCCCGAUUGCGAAGGCAGCCUGCCAAGCCAUUACUGACGCUGAUGCACGAAAGCGUGGGGAUCAAACAGGAUUAGAUACCCUGGUAGUCCACGCAGUAAACGAUGAUCACUAGCUGUUUGCGAUACACUGUAAGCGGCACAGCGAAAGCGUUAAGUGAUCCACCUGGGGAGUACGCCGGCAACGGUGAAACUCAAAGGAAUUGACGGGGGCCCGCACAAGCGGAGGAACAUGUGGUUUAAUUCGAUGAUACGCGAGGAACCUUACCCGGGCUUGAAUUGCAGAGGAAGGAUUUGGAGACAAUGACGCCCUUCGGGGCCUCUGUGAAGGUGCUGCAUGGUUGUCGUCAGCUCGUGCCGUGAGGUGUCGGCUUAAGUGCCAUAACGAGCGCAACCCUUGCCACUAGUUACUAACAGGUAAAGCUGAGGACUCUGGUGGGACUGCCAGCGUAAGCUGCGAGGAAGGCGGGGAUGACGUCAAAUCAGCACGGCCCUUACAUCCGGGGCGACACACGUGUUACAAUGGCGUGGACAAAGGGAGGCCACCUGGCGACAGGGAGCGAAUCCCCAAACCACGUCUCAGUUCGGAUCGGAGUCUGCAACCCGACUCCGUGAAGCUGGAUUCGCUAGUAAUCGCGCAUCAGCCAUGGCGCGGUGAAUACGUUCCCGGGCCUUGUACACACCGCCCGUCAAGCCAUGGGAGCCGGGGGUACCUGAAGUCCGUAACCGCGAGGAUCGGCCUAGGGUAAAACUGGUGACUGGGGCU
rnacentral:rRNA from 1 species